UUACGGUCAAAUCACGCUGAAAACACCGGUUCUCGUUCGAUCACCGAAGUUAAGCAUCGUAGAGCCAGGUCGAGGAAGUAUUUUAGAUGGGGACCGCUUGGGGAGCUACCUGGUACUGUAAG